UGCAGUCAACUGAAUUUGAGGUAGCAAUAUCUCAAGUAAGGUGGCGCACGGGUGAGUAACACGUAGGUAAUCUGCCUUUAGGACUGACAUAACCUAUCGAAAGGUAGGCUAAUUUCAGAUGAUGCAGCGGCUCGACAUCGAGACAGUUGUUAAACCUUCGGGGCCUAAAGAUGAGCCUGCGUCUGAUUAGGUAGUUGGCGGAGUAAAAGCCCACCAAGCCUGCGAUCAGUAGCUGGUCUGAGAGGAUGAUCAGCCACACUGGAACUGAGACACGGUCCAGACUCCUACGGGAGGCAGCAGUAAGGAAUAUUGCUCAAUGGCCGAAAGGCUGAAGCAGCAACGCCGCGUGGAGGAUGAAAUACUUUUGUAUGUAAACUCCUGUAAGAGGGGAAAAAUAUCUCAUUAUUUGAGAUUGAUUGUACCCUCAGAGUAAGCACCGGCUAACUACGUGCCAGCAGCCGCGGUAAUACGUAGGGUGCUAGAGUUGUCCGGAUUUACUGGGUGUAAAGGGUGCUCAGGUGGAUUUGUAAGUCAGAGGUGAAAUCCCAAAGCUUAACUUUGGUGCUGCCUUUGAUACUGCAAGUCUGGAGUUUGAGAGAGGGCAAUGGAAUAUCUGGUGUAGCAGUGAAAUGCGUAGAUAUCAGAUAGAACACCAAUGGCGAAGGCAGUUGCCUGGCUCAAAACUGACGCUAAAGCACGAAAGUGUGGGGAGCAAACAGGAUUAGAUACCCUGGUAGUCCACACCCUAAACGAUGAAUACUAGAUGUUGGUCCUUUUUAGGAUCAGUAUCCAAGCUAACGCAUUAAGUAUUCCACCUGGG
rnacentral:rRNA from 1 species